rnacentral:rRNA from 1 species
AGGGCACCACCAGGAGUGGAGCCUGCGGCUUAAUUUGACUCAACACGGGAAAACUCACCCGGCCCGGACACCGUAAGGAUUGACAGACUGAGAGCUCUUUCUUAAUUCGGUGGGUGGUGGUGCAUGGCCGUUCUUAGUUGGUGGAGCGAUUUGUCUGGUUAAUUCCGAUAACGAACGAGACUCUGGCCUACUAAAUAGACGGUAUAUCUGAAAGUAUACCGCGCUUCUUAGAGGGACAAGCGGCGUCUAGCCGCAUGAAAUAGAGCAAUAACAGGUCUGUGAUGCCCUUAGAUGUCCGGGGCUGCACGCGCGCUACACUGAAAGAAUCAGUAUGCGCCGUCGCCUGGUUCGGAAGAACCGGGUAACCCGAGCAAAUUCUUUCGUGCUUGGGAUAGGGAAUUGCAAUUAUUUCCCUUAAACGAGGAAUUCCCAGUAAAUGCGGGUCAUAAGCUCGCGUUGAUUACGUCCCUGCCCUUUGUACACACCGCCCGUCGCUACUACCGAUUGGAUGACUCAGUG